GAUGAACGCUGGCGGCGUGCCUAAUACAUGCAAGUCGAGCGAACGGACGAGAAGCUUGCUUCUCUGAUGUUAGCGGCGGACGGGUAAGUAACACGUGGAUAACCUACCUAUAAGACUGGGAUAACUUCGGGAAACCGGAGCUAAUACCGGAUAAUAUUUUGAGCCGCAUGGUUCAAAAGUGAAAGACGGUCUUGCUGUCACUUAUAGAUGGAUCCGCGCUGCAUUAGCUAGUUGGUAAGGUAACGGCUUACCAAGGCAACGAUGCAUAGCCGACCUGAGAGGGUGAUCGGCCACACUGGAACUGAGACACGGUCCAGACUCCUACGGGAGGCAGCAGUAGGGAAUCUUCCGCAAUGGGCGAAAGCCUGACGGAGCAACGCCGCGUGAGUGAUGAAGGUCUUCGGAUCGUAAAACUCUGUUAUUAGGGAAGAACAUAUGUGUAAGUAACUGUGCACAUCUUGACGGUACCUAAUCAGAAAGCCACGGCUAACUACGUG
rnacentral:rRNA from 1 species